AGCAGCCGCGGUAAUUCCAGCUCCAAUAGCGUAUAUUAAAGUUGUUGCAGUUAAAAAGCCCGUAGUUGAAUUUCGGGGUUAGUAGGUUGGUCAUGCCUCUGGUAUGUACUGGUCUCACUGAUUCCUCCUUCCUGAUGAACCGUAAUGCCAUUAAUUUGGUGUUGCGGGGAGUUUGGACUGUUACUUUGAAAAAUUAGAGUGUUUAAAGCAAGCUAACGCUUGAAUACAUUAGCAUGGAAUAACGAAAUAGGACGUUCGAUCCUAUUUUGUUGGUUUCUAGGAUUGACGUAAUGAUUAAUAGGGAUAGUUGGGGGCAUUAGUAUUCAAUUGUCAGAGGUGAAAUUCUUGGAUUUAUUGAAGACUAAACUACUGCGAAAGCAUUUGCCAAGGAUGUUUUCAUUAAUCAAGAACGAAAGUUAGGGGAUCGAAGACGAUCAGAUACCGUCGUAG
rnacentral:sRNA from 1 species